GGGUUAGGGUCGGCAACGCGCAUGUAACUCCUCUGGAGUUGCAGGUGUACAUAUGCUACGGAGACUGCUUACCAUCAGGCAGGCCGUAUGCUUGUUUGCCACCGACGUAGUAUAAAAAAAAAAAAAAAAUCUAGAGCAGAGCCCAACUGGGGAAGCACCUCCACCUUACAGAAAAACAGCAGCCAAAUAACACUAGACCCUACUCAUAGUGUUGUGUUCCUGCCGGUGAGUAAGGUUGCCAGAGCUCAACGAGGGGGGGGGGGGGGUUUAGGGUCGGCAACGCGCAUGUAACUCCUCUGGAGUUGCAGGCGUACAUAGGCUACGGAAACUGCUUACCAUCAGGCGGGCCGUAUGCUUGUUUGCCACCGACGUAGUAU